AAGAAGAAAACACUGAGAUAACCAACUAUGAUAAACUGCAGUUGGAAUUUAACGACCCAGUGGAUGGGAAACAAAGGGAAGAAAUGAGACUUGAAAAAACAAACAAACAGGGAGAUCAAGUGAAGGGUGGGCAGACCUCUAUUUGACUGAUGCUUGCUCCCUUUGAAGGCCACUGUCACACCACUUGGGGAAAAAUUGGAAAUCAGACACACGAGUGUGGCUUUGUUUUCCUGGAGCUCCUCAGGGGAAGGUGGAAACAUGGUGCUUCCCAGCCAUUCGGUAUUCCUCAGAAUAUCUAUUGGCACCUACUUCUACAAAAGACCAGCUGAAACAUCUAACCUGGUGGGACUGAGCAACUACUAGAUUCUUCGACUUCCCAUUCACAGUGACUUCUGGCUGUUUCCACUGACUUGGGCUGAUUGACAGAGACUCUUCUGUUUGUUCUGGAUGAACUGCCAUUGCUGAUUCAUAGAGAGAAUCUACAAGUGACUUGAGGUACUGCUGCUGAUCUGUGUGAACUGAACUGCAAAUAUUUUGACAAGAUUGGAAUUGCCCCAAAUAAAUGUUUCUAAAUAGGUCCACA
rnacentral:lncRNA from 1 species